rnacentral:rRNA from 1 species
CGGAGGAUGCAAGCGUUAUCCGGAUUUAUUGGGUUUAAAGGGUGCGCAGGUUGUUUGAUAAGUCAGUGGUGAAAGUCUGUCGCUUAACGGUAGGAUUGCCAUUGAUACUGUUGGACUUGAAUAUGGAUGAGGUAGGCGGAAUGUGUAGUGUAGCGGUGGAAUGCAUAGAUAUUACACAGAACACCGAUUGCGAAGGCAGCUUACUAAUCCAUCAUUGACGCUGAGGCACGAAAGCGUGGGGAUCAAACA